AUACGUAGGUGGCAAGCGUUGUCCGGAUUUAUUGGGCGUAAAGCGAGCGCAGGCGGUUUCUUAAGUCUGAUGUGAAAGCCCCCGGCUCAACCGGGGAGGGUCAUUGGAAACUGGGAGACUUGAGUGCAGAAGAGGAGAGUGGAAUUCCAUGUGUAGCGGUGAAAUGCGUAGAUAUAUGGAGGAACACCAGUGGCGAAGGUGAUUCUCUGGUCUGUAACUGACGCUGAGGCUCGAAAGCGGGGGGAGCAAACAGGAUUAGAUACCCUGUUAGUCCACUCGGUAAACGAUGAGUGCUAAGUGAUGGAGGGUGUCCGCCCUUCAGGGCUGCAGCUAAGGCAUUAAGCACUCCGCCUGGGGAGUACGACCUCAAGGUUGAAACUCAAAUGAAUUGACGGG
rnacentral:rRNA from 1 species